CGGCACCGAGGAGCGCUGCGACAGGAUCUUCCUGCCAGGCUCGGGCCAGGCUCAGCAACACAACGGCGCUCAUCAUUU
rnacentral:ncRNA from 1 species